ACGAGAGAGAGAGAGAGAGCUGGGAGCUCUGACCCGGACGCCACAGCGACCCGAGAAGGAACCCGACCAGAGGGACGCUGUCCGGCCACCCCACGACGGCGCGCGGCCACCAACAGCUUUGUCUCGUCGUUGCCUACCUCCCUACGUCCUCAGAUCGUCCAUGCACUGACGGUGAACGGAGCAGCAACGACGGGAAGCCUCGAGCUUUCUCCGGCCACCUCUGCAACUUCCGGGGACCGAUUAAGCUGCGUCUGCCACGGCUCUGCCGUAUUCUUCAUUACCGGCCACGUUUUCAGCUCUUCUGGGCUUCGUCUAGGCUUCAUUGCAUCUGUAGAAGAAAACCGAUCACGAAUUGUUGGGAUGAUUGCAUCGAAACCAUCUGCUCCUCACUAGUCGAGUUCCGGCAGUGAGUUUGGCCCCGUUGCAGUCGAUUACCGAAGAAUUUAGGACUCCAAUUACCCGAGGAACGGAAGGUUUGUGACUCUCGGAAUACGUGAGAGAAAGCAUCGAAAUCCAGGUAGGAAUUCAGGACUCUCCUCGGUUAGUGAUUUUCUUAUGUUGUUAUUAAAUGAUGCAUGUUAGUUGGUAUGGUUUGGUUAUGUUCAAAUGCAAUGCAUACUAACCAAACCAUGUGACAAAUGUGAUGGCUUGAGAGCGAAGGGUAGCUCUGACUUCCUUGGGUUCGAUCCCCAAAACCUUCGGAGGGUUAGUUACACCGGUCGGACGGUGAGCGAUCGCAAUGACGACCCGAUCCGUGUGUGUAGCUAGGUAGCGGACGCUCUCGCUACGCUUACCUGGUGAUAAAUUAAUUUGAGGUAAGGUCGUGUAGUGGGUCUAUGGGACCGGCCAUCAGGUAAUAUUUGGAUUUGGUGCCGUAUUUAUUUAAGCAUCAUGCAUCAGUUUUCAAGUUGAAAAACAUUAAAGUUUGUCGUUCCUUUAAAAUAUUUGGUUUAAGCAUGUUUUCAUACUGGGAUCCCAAAUAUAUAUUUAGUGGUUUCAAACCUAGUCGUGGUAGAGUUCCUGUAAGAGCAGCGAGGACGAAAGCUCACCCCUACAACAGUGUGGAUGCAGGUACUGUGCACUGGUGACGGGACAAUAGCGGACGGAGCUGGGUGUGCGGAACAAGUUCGGUAAAUUCUGUCUUUUAGACAUUGUUCUAAAUUCUAUUUCUCGAACUUCGUAUUCCGAGACUUAUUGAUAGUUAGCCUUGUGUCAAUUUUGGUUGAGUUCUCAUUUCCUUGAAGUUCGUACCUCGUGUGUGAGAAUUCAUUUCAAGUUCUAGACGAAUGAAAUAAAUUUUAGCAACUCAAGGAUUUUCACCUCAAAAAUAUUUGUAGCUUCCGCUGUGUUUAUACGAAAAGUUUUCAAACAAAAUGCUUAGCGGUUCUCUAGAAUGUAAAUCGAGCGUUCGGUUUAUGUUUUAGAGGCUCGCGGCACUGUGACGUGCUUAAGCUGGUGAGGUGCAGCUUGGGGCGUUACAUAUGGUUUCUUUUUACGCCAAGUUAAUGAAUCUCCUGGAGUACCACAAUUGAGUGUAUUGACGAUGGGAGAUUCAAGAUAGUUUUCUUUGUGUACGCUGAGAUUUGUAGUUGUGUAGGCUCAGAAAAUUCAAAUGAGCAUCA